UUGGACCUGAUAUCAAACAAGACUACCCGCUGAACUUAA
rnacentral:rRNA from 7 species